rnacentral:lncRNA from 1 species
GAAAGAAAUGCAGCCGAGAGGUUCUGUCAGCUCAUCUAAUGCUCCUUUUAGCCUGUCUAACUGACCUGCGUUGCCCUUGGCUAUUCUCCCUGCGAGGAAUAAGUAGUUACAGUCUUGUCUCAUCGCUGCAACUCCCGUACGGACUCGGGAGAGGUGAAGGUCGAGAGCCAUGCAUCCUCCGAAACACAACCCAACCCAACCCAACCAAGCCGCACUGCUUCUUGACACAAUGCCCAUCCAACCUGGAAGCCAGCCACACCAAUGUCUCAGAGGAAACACCGUACACCUG